CGGCACAUCAAGCGCAAUUUGAACAAAUUCAACAUCGCCCUCUUCCAGUAUGUAAGCACGUCGACUCAUUCUCAUUAUAUUCUUUAGAUAUUGAAGAAUCUGUUAAUCAAUAUUUUGAUGUUAUUGGGUGGACUGAUUUUACUGCUAUUGAUGAACCUGUAUAUUAUGAGUUGGUUUUUGAAUUUUAUUCUACAUUUUACUUCAAUCGUUUUGCCAACACCAUAGAUACGCCUCAUGCUGUCAAUUUUUGUUUGCUAGGUGUACAUUAUAAUCUGUCUAUUUCUGAGUUUAAUGUUGCUUUGAGAUUUGUUAAUGAGGACUAUUUAGCAACUGAUGACUAUU
rnacentral:lncRNA from 1 species